rnacentral:lncRNA from 1 species
GAGUUUUUACAAAGCAUCUGACAGAAAGUAAAUAAGGUGUGAGCAGACACUGUCAGCAGAAGAGCUCCUCCUUCAGCUGUGUUCGGCCCAGUCUCGUUGGUUAUCCUGGACUUCGGGAUGAGAAGGGUGUGUUUGUACUCCACGAGCCAGGCACCUUGUUAAUCACUCGCCUGGAGAAGGAAGGAGCCUCCGAAUUAGCCAAGGCUGCGUUUGGCUGGCAUAGCUACAGAGUCCAGCACAGAAAUGAAGAAACCCAGAGGUAACUAUAUCAUCACAAAAGCAAACAGCUGACUGAUGCAUCCCGACGCAAAGAGAACAGGAGCACCGUUUAUCAGGGUAUGCACUUUCCUUUUGAAAAUAAUGUUCCUGAAACAUGAACCUAUUGUGCAGAUUAUUUUGAGUUAAUUGCAUUAUGCAGGUUAAAAUGUUUUUAAAGUGAACAUAUACAUCUAUCUAAGCUAACUGGGGAAA